rnacentral:misc_RNA from 1 species
GAUGAAGAACGUAGCGAAAUGCGAUAAGUAUGUGAAUUGCAGAAUUCAGUGAAUCAUCGAAUCUUUGAACGCACAUUGCGCCCCUUGGUAUUCCGAGGGGCAUGCCUGUUCGAGCGUCAUUAUAACCCCUCAAGCUCAGCUUGGUGUUGGGGCCUGCUGCACUGGCAGCCCUUAAAAUCAGUGGCGGCGCCAUCUGGCUCUAAGCGUAGUAAUUCUUCUCGCUAUGGAGUCCUGGUGGAUGCUUGCCAUCAACCCCCAAUUUUUCUAUGGUUGACCUCGGAUCAGGUAGGGAUACCCGCUGAACUUAAGCAUAUCAAUAAGCGGAGGA